UACGUAGGGCGCAAGCGUUAUCCGGAAUUAUUGGGCGUAAAGAGCUCGUAGGUGGUUUGUCGCGUUGUUCGUGAAAACUCACAGCUUAACUGUGGGCGUGCGGGCGAUACGGGCAGACUGGAGUACUGCAGGGGAGACUGGAAUUCCUGGUGUAGCGGUGGAAUGCGCAGAUAUCAGGAGGAACACCGGUGGCGAAGGCGGGUCUCUGGGCAGUAACUGACGCUGAGGAGCGAAAGCGUGGGGAGCGAAUAGG
rnacentral:rRNA from 1 species